rnacentral:rRNA from 1 species
CUUUAUUGGAGAGUUUGAUCCUGGCUCAGGAUGAACGCUGGCGGCGUGCCUAAUACAUGCAAGUCGAGCGAAUGACGAGGAGCUUGCUCCUCUGAUUUAGCGGCGGACGGGUGAGUAACACGUGGGUAACCUGCCUGUAAGACGGGGAUAACUCCGGGAAACCGGAGCUAAUACCGGAUGAUAACGAGAAGCGCCUGCUUCUUUUUUGAAAGUCGGUUUCGGCUGACGCUUACAGAUGGGCCCGCGGCGCAUUAGCUAGUUGGUGAGGUAACGGCUCACCAAGGCGACGAUGCGUAGCCGACCUGAGAGGGUGAUCGGCCACACUGGGACUGAGACACGGCCCAGACUCCUACGGGAGGCAGCAGUAGGGAAUCUUCGGCAAUGGACGAAAGUCUGACCGAGCAACGCCGCGUGAGCGAUGAAGGCCUUCGGGUCGUAAAGCUCUGUUGUCAGAGAAGAACAAGUACCGGAGUAACUGCCGGUAC